CGUUCCCGGGCCUUGUACACACCGCCCGUCACACCACGAAAGUCGGUAACACCCGAAGCCAGUGGCCCAACCUGUAAAGGAGGGAGCCGUCGAAGGUGGGAUCGGUGAUUGGGGUG
rnacentral:rRNA from 1 species